GCUGGCUCCUUCUGCAGCCGCAUUCACUCAGCUUCCCACACGACUGAGGCAGAGGAGAGUGCAGAGAUGUGGAGGGAGGGGAAGAAAAGAGGAGCGCGCGCGCGGGGGGGAUGUCAGAGACCGAGAAAGUGGGGAGAGAGGGAGGGAGAGAGAGAGAGAGAGAGAUCCUCAGACCUUGGAACUGUUCCAUUAUGUCUCGCGCGCACUUCAAACGGCUCAAUUUCUGUAUUUAAUAUUGACAUCCUCUCAUUUCUUCAGCCUCCUCGAAUCUUUCGGAUCUUCCGUUUGAUGUGUUCUCCUCCCGCACAACCUCUGCGGGGAUCAAAGCCGAUAAAGCCCGCACACUUGUCCGUGUGUGUGUGUUUUGCGUGUUUAGGCGGACUUGUUGGCGCUAAGAGGACCAAAAACAUAAAACAAAAAGCCAAAGAAGCGCAACUGCGCCUGACUUGCGCAACGAAAGCAUGGCGCAUCCCCCCCGCGCGCUCUGACUGAAGACUGAGCGCGGUUCUUGAAACAAUGCGCCUGUGAGCAGAAUGGUAAAGAGAGGAGAGAGGGAGAGAUGGGAGGUGAGGGGUCUGUGAGGAGGAAAAGGGAUUUGGGAGUGCUGCAGUCAGAGCCAAAGCAACACGAGGAGAAAACAGGAGGUGCGGCGGGAGCUGUCAGGCGCAGAGGCUUCUUUUUUUUUUUCUUUUUGAAGGAGUCAAAAAGGUUUGAGUGGUGGAACGCUUGAAGGUAAGCCUUCUUUAUUGUUUUAUCUUCUAAUUACGUAAGCAGGAGUUUAGAAGAGGAGUUCUGGAAAGACCGAGUGCUCUGCGGCGGUGUGCGGAGGCGGCGUUGCGCAGCGCAGAGCGCUAUCCUGCGUUCACAUGACACCGGGAGCGAAUGGAGAUCGGACGUAAACUUGACGCCCUUCAGCGGAAGCCUCACCUCUGGUUGCCUUCUGCAACAGGUGGUGGGGCCGAGUGACGCACAGACGGAGCUCAGAGGAGGUGCACAGUUUAGCACUUUUGUGCGCAAUGGUUUCAUGAUUCACGAUUCAAUGACUGAUUUUCUUAGGAUCAUCAGUAAAUCCAAACACAUGAUCAUCCAAACUUCACUUCAUGGUUCUUACAUGUAAUUAGUAACUUCUGCAUACAGUUUCAGAUUUAUGUGCGCAGAUCCUCCAUCAUUAAUCUUCAUAAUAGCAAUGAAAUUUGAGAUUUUAUUUUAACUGGAACUCCAAGGAAAGAAAUAAUAGGCUACUUAAAAAAAAGAAAAACACUAAAUACAUGCAGUUAAAGACAACAUGCUUAAAAAUCAAUACAAUUCAAACAGAAAAUCAUUUCAUUUUUGCAUUUUCUUAAACAAAUUUGAUUUUUUUUAAGUUAAAAAGUGGAUUAACUUACUAAAACUAAAGACUACUAUAGUCGAGAUUGUUUUGUUUAUUAUUUUCUUGUAAUUUUCUGAAUGAGGAAACUUUGUGAAAAUCACAGUGUUUAUUUGAUCAUUUGUGCAUUGAUUUAUCUCAUGGAAAUGUAAGACAUCAUAUGUCUGCAUAUAGUUAUUGGUGCAAGAUUUCUUUUAACUUAUUGUUAUUUUAAAGAGCCAAAAAAAAAAGCAUGAAACAUUACAACACAUUUAAAUCGUUCUGUAUUUGAGAAAAACAAUGACAGAAAAAGUCAUUUUCUGUAGUUUUUGCUUAACAAAAUCACAUCAAAUGUUCCUCCAAGCAUGAGAAAGUGAAAUACAAUGAUUUGUUUUACAAUUUUCUAAAUGGUUUAUUUUGCAUCAUCGACCCAAAUGAGUGAUCUUCCUGUGUGUGUGUGAGCUGUGAGCGUGUGUGUGCUGAUAUUUGACAGAGUUGGACAUGUUCCCCCGCCGGCUGUGUGAGUGGCCUGAGGGAGGCAGGCCUACCAGAGACCGAGCCAGACAGUUGGCAAAGCCUCCGUUUCCUUCUCAGCUGCUGUUGCUGGUUUGACCAUGUGGCACUUCCUGUGUCCAAACCUCGGAAAAUGUUCAACCUCACAUGCUCCGGUCCAGUAAUACUAUCAACCUAAAGCCAUAUAAUAUUACAAUAUGUCAGCUUUAUCAACUUUUUUUUUUUUUCGUUUUGUCCUUUGCAGCCCCAUUGAAUGGUUUACUGAGCUGCAGAAGUUAGUGUUUGAUGUGUCGCCCUCAAGUGGACAGAAAGAACAUCACAUCCUGUUCUCAGGUCACAGGAUUUCCUUCAGAAAUGGUGGUG